UACGUAGGGGGCAAGCGUUGUCCGGAUUUAUUGGGCGUAAAGAGCGUGUAGGCGGUUUGGUAGGUCCGUUGUGAAAACUCGAGGCUCAACCUCGAGACGUCGGCGGAAACCAUCUGGCUAGAGUCCGGAAGAGGAGAGUGGAAUUCCUGGUGUAGCGGUGAAAUGCGCAGAUAUCAGGAAGAACACCCGUGGCGAAGGCGGCUCUCGUGGGACGGUACUGACGCUGAGACGCGAAAGCGUGGGGAGCGAACAGG
rnacentral:rRNA from 1 species